rnacentral:rRNA from 1 species
GAUGAACGCUGGCGGCGUGCCUAAUACAUGCAAGUCGAGCGAACAGAUGAGGAGCUUGCUCCUCUGACGUUAGCGGCGGACGGGUGAGUAACACGUGGAUAACCUACCUAUAAGACUGGGAUAACUUCGGGAAACCGGAGCUAAUACCGGAUAAUAUAUUGAACCGCAUGGUUCAAUAGUGAAAGACGGUUUUGCUGUCACUUAUAGAUGGAUCCGCGCCGCAUUAGCUAGUUGGUAAGGUAACGGCUUACCAAGGCAACGAUGCGUAGCCGACCGGAGAGGGGGAACGGCCACGUGGGGACUGAGAUAGGGACAAGCCGCCUAAGGGAGGAAGCAGUGGGGAAUAGUGCAAAAGGGGCGGAAGCCAGAUGCAGAAAUGCAGCGUGCGGGAUAACGGCCUACGGGUGGUAAACCGCUGCCGCAGGUGACGAAGAGUGAGUGACGGUAAUGGGUAAAGAAGCACCGGCUAACUACGUG